rnacentral:rRNA from 1 species
ACGACUCUCGGCAACGGAUAUCUCGGCUCUCGCAUCGAUGAAGAACGUAGCGAAAUGCGAUACCUGGUGUGAAUUGCAGAAUCCCGCGAACCAUCGAGUCUUUGAACGCAAGUUGCGCCUGAGGCCACUCGGCCGAGGGCACGCCUGCCUGGGCGUCACGCC